rnacentral:other from 1 species
AAUUGUCAGAGAGAUGCGACACCGGCCCAUCUAAAACCGACUAAAAUAACGAUACGGGAGUUUUGAACAGUUAUCGGUGUUGAAUGCUUAUUGUAAUGAAUAAGAAUCCUAAUGAUAACGUAAGGACACCCACCUGGACUAAGGACAGGUUUUAUCGUACGCUAGGACGCUCUCACCUGACGUUUU